rnacentral:rRNA from 1 species
AGUGAACGCUGGCGGUAGGCCUAACACAUGCAAGUCGAACGGCAGCACAGUAGGAGCUUGCUCUUACGGGUGGCGAGUGGCGGACGGGUGAGGAAUACGUCGGAAUCUACUUUUUCGUGGGGGAUAACGUAGGGAAACUUACGCUAAUACCGCAUACGACCUACGGGUGAAAGCAGGGGAUCUUCGGACCUUGCGCGAUUGAAUGAGCCGAUGUCGGAUUAGCUAGUUGGCGGGGUAAAGGCCCACCAAGGCGACGAUCCGUAGCUGGUCUGAGAGGAUGAUCAGCCACACUGGAACUGAGACACGGUCCAGACUCCUACGGGAGGCAGCAGUGGGGAAUAUUGGACAAUGGGCGCAAGCCUGAUCCAGCCAUACCGCGUGGGUGAAGAAGGCCUUCGGGUUGUAAAGCCCUUUUGUUGGGAAAGAAAAGCAGCAGGUUAAUACCCCGCUGUUCUGACGGUACCCAAAGAAUAAGCACCGGCUAACUUCGUG